UUAGCAAGUAGCAAAACUGUUUUAUUAGCAGAUCAGGACUGAUAUCAGGCAACAAACAGAGAGGAGUUAGGAAAAAAUACUAGCAGAACAGAACAGAAAGAACAACUGGAAACCUGUUGAUAUUUUUCCCCUUCUCUAUAAGCCAUGUCCCUCACCUGUUAAUCCAUGGGUAUGUUUGAAUCCAGGAGCAUUACAAACAAAUAUUUUCGGGUUGAAGUUCAGGGGAACAGCUGGAGAUAUUUGUUCACGCCAGCUCUGGUGCUGGAACACAGCUGUGGCUUGUCCAGCAUUUAAACUCCUUCCAUUAAACUCUUGUAGCCUUCAAGCAACACAUAUUUUCUGCCAGAGAUUACCUAACGGUUGAUUGAAAAUGGCACUGCCUUGCUAGAAUGCCAGCAUACAAACAAGAAAUAAAACAAUUUGUGCAUAAUACUUUAAUACUCUGAAGAAAAUGUGGAGUUCAAGAUAAGUUUUGCCCUUGAUCUUUCAUGCAAGUUAUAAAUAGUGAUUAUUAUUAACAAUAAACAUCUUUUCAUUUGAAAAAA